rnacentral:rRNA from 1 species
ACGUAGGUAACCUUCCCUUGAGCGGGGGACAACGUUUCGAAAGGAACGCUAAUACCGCAUACGUUUCCAGGGACUCCGGUCUCUGGGAGGAAAGCUAGGUCGCAAGAUCCGGCACUCGAGGAGGAGCCUGCGUCGCAUCAGCUAGUUGGUGGGGUAACGGCCUACCAAGGCGAAGACGCGUAGCUGGUCUGAGAGGAUGAUCAGCCACACUGGGACUGAGACACGGCCCAGACUCCUACGGGAGGCAGCAGUGGGGAAUAUUGGACAAUGGGCGCAAGCCUGAUCCAGCCACGCCGCGUGAGUGAUGAAGGCCUUCGGGUCGUAAAGCUCUGUGGGGAGGGACGAACCGCUGCUGGUUCAUAUCCAGCAGCAUGACGGUACCUCCUUAGCAAGCACCGGCU